rnacentral:rRNA from 1 species
AUACGAACUGCACAAACGUUAUUGGGAAUCACUGGGCUUAAAGAGUCCGUAGGCGGCCUGGAAGGUGAGGUGUGAAAUCCCACGGCUCAACCGUGGAACUGCGCUUCAAACCGUCAGGCUAGAGGGAGUCAGGGGUGAGCGGAACAGAUGGUGGAGCGGUGAAAUGCGUUGAUAUUAUCUGGAACACCGGUGGCGAAGGCGACUCACUGGGACUCUUCUGACGCUGAGGGACGAAAGCUAGGGUAGCGAACGGGAUUAGAAACCCCAGUAGUCC